ACUGUAUAUCCUACUUAAGACAUAUUUUUAGAGCAUUACCACAUGUUAUGCACUGACACUAAGAUUAAAUUUAUUAAAUAAGAUCCAUUUCUGUCUUUAAGGAUCUCUAAAACAAAUAAGGAGUUUACAAUAUGCUGAUUCAGCAUUUUAGAAAAAGAAGGUAGUGUGCCAUUUCUUGUGACUGAGUGUUAUAAAGCAAAUUCAUCUCUGUAACCUAAUGUCUAACAAGCAGGAUUAUUGCUAGAAUUAGGGGUGAUGUACAUAAGGUACUUGGUACAGUGUCUGGCACACAAAUAGGCAUGAUGGGAAAUUAUUAAAAUGUCAUAAUGAAUAAUUUUAUUUCCAAAUUAUGAAUUAUUAUUUAAGUUAUUUUUUUAAUCACCAAAGCUAUCUCAAAUCCAAGAUUGGUAAAGCUGGAGCUGCUUCUUUUUUUCAAAGACUAAAUAGCUCAUGACAUAGAUAUUAGAAUGUCAGUAUUGAAAUUGUUCUCUAUGAUGUGGGCUAGGCAACAAUAAUAAAUAGGCACCGAAAUGUGAAGACUUAACACAGUGAAUAGUUAUUUCUUGCCUACUGAAAAGUCCAGGGCAGUGGCAAGUCACUGGGUUCUCUGCUUCACACAGUCUUUCUGGGAUCCAGGCUGACAGGGUUCUGUCAUCUUCAACAGAUGGAUCUCAAAGUAGCCCUAGGGUUUCUCAGCCCAGUC
rnacentral:lncRNA from 1 species